GACGAACGCUGGCGGCAGGCUUAACACAUGCAAGUCGAGCGCCCCGCAAGGGGAGCGGCAGACGGGUGAGUAACGCGUGGGAAUCUACCCAUCUCUACGGAAUAACGCAUGGAAACGUGUGCUAAUACCGUAUACGUCCUUCGGGAGAAAGAUUUAUCGGAGAUGGAUGAGCCCGCGUCGGAUUAGCUAGUUGGUGGGGUAAAGGCCUACCAAGGCGACGACCCAUAGCUGGUCUGAGAGGAUGAUCAGCCACACUGGGACUGAGACACGGCCCAGACUCCUACGGGAGGCGGCAGUGGGGAAUAUUGGACAAUGGGCGCAAGCCUGAUCCAGCCAUGCCGCGUGAGUGAUGAAGGCCCUAGGGUUGUAAAGCUCUUUCACCGGUGAAGAUAAUGACGGUAACCGGAGAAGAAGCCCCGGCUAACUUCGUGCCAGCCGCCGCCGUAACAC
rnacentral:rRNA from 1 species